GUGAGCUCUCCGUCCCUAGGUGGUCUGUGCUGUGUCACGCAAACUCCGAUUUCCGGGAGGUGUUGCUUUAUCUGUCCCUAUCCGGCGAUUCAAUCAAUUUUACCCCUAAACCAGCUUAUUUCAUAUAGAAUAAGUAACGGUUACUUCUAUUGUGUCCUACUGAAUUGCUUCUACCGCGAAAUCAAGUUCCACUAAAGUGUACGGUUUCCAAAAAAUACGAAUAUCGAGUAUUUUUUUUUCUUUUAACGUUACAUUUCAGCGUGUGGUCGUACAGAAGCCUACACGCAAAAACUUUGUUGGUAACAGAAAUGUUCUACUCAUUCUAUAGCUGUAUUUUGAGGUUGUUUAAAAACGGUUUCUGGGAUUUGAGUUGUUUCUAAUUGCAUUAGUAACUCCAGACCAAUCAGACAGGCCGUUUUGAACACCUGUGUAAAAACAAAAACGUCUGGCGCAGUCCGUUCAAAAUGGCGUUUCUGUACGAAAGGCAUGCUCUGGAAUUAUUAUUUUUUUGCAAACUUUCUAGUCCUCCUAAGAGUUUUUGUCGGUACAACGUUUAUCCAAAGUGUGCAGCAAAUCAUUUGGAAUUUACCACGGUGGAUUCAUGCCGCUCUCUGGAUGUUUUGAGGAGAAAACGUGGGUUUCCUGCAGAACAGUGACUUGGUGAAUUUGGAGAAGACAAGAAAAUGGCGAGGCACGAUGCAGUUACUAAGGAUGAGGUGCGCCAUGUGUUUGGACACAGCCUUGCUCGUUCUUACAGGUGUCUUAAAACCUGAUGAACAAAAUUGGAUUGGACCCGGUAAUUUGAAGACCCAAGAGGAUACAAAUAUUAUCAAGUUAGGUAGCUGCUGACUGCUGCAGUAGUCAGGACUCCUGUCUGAACCUGACAAGACUGGAUUGGACCAGACCAUAUCAGGUGAUGUGAAGACCC